UACAGAGGGUGCAAGCGUUAAUCGGAAUUACUGGGCGUAAAGCGUGCGUAGACGGUUAUGUAAGUCGGGUGUGAAAGCCCCGGGCUCAACCUGGGAAUUGCAUUCGAGACUGUGUAGCUAGGGUACGGAAGAGGGAAGCGGAAUUUCAGGUGUAGCGGUGAAAUGCGUAGAUAUCUGGAGGAACACCGGUGGCGAAGGCGGCAUCCUGGACCGGUAUUGACGCUGAGGAGCGAAAGCCAGGGGAGCAAACGGG
rnacentral:rRNA from 1 species